GGGAGUAGCUCAGUGGUAGAGCGCUUGCUUAGCAUGCAAGGCCCUGGGUUCAAUCCCCAGCAACCCCA